GCAUUGGUGGCUCAGCGGUAGAAUUCUUGUCUUCCAUGCAGGAGACUCAGCUUCCGUUCCUGAUCAAUGUA
rnacentral:tRNA from 1 species